GUAGUCAUAUGCUUGUCUCAAAGAUUAAGCCAUGCAUGUCUAAGUAUAAACAACUUUAUACUGUAAAACUGCGAACGGCUCAUUACAUCAGCAAUAAUUUAUUUGAUGAUUUCUACUACAUGGAUAACUGUAGUAAUUCUAGAGCUAAUACAUGCGCAAAGUCCUGACUCGCGAGGGGAGGGAUGUAUUUAUUAGAUACAAAACCAAUGCGGGUUAUGCUCGCCAUUGUGUUGAAUCAUAGUAACUUAUCAGACGCCAUAGCCUUGUGCUGGGCGUAGAUCAUUCAAAUUUCUGCCCUAUCAGCUUUCGACGGUAGUGUAGUGGACUACCGUGGCGUUAACGGGUAACGGGGAAUA
rnacentral:rRNA from 1 species